rnacentral:rRNA from 1 species
GACGAACGCUGGCGGCGUGCUUAACACAUGCAAGUCGAACGGAAAGGCCCUGCUUUUGUGGGGUGCUCGAGUGGCGAACGGGUGAGUAACACGUGAGUAACCUGCCCUUGACUUUGGGAUAACUUCAGGAAACUGGGGCUAAUACCGGAUAGGAGCUCCUGCUGCAUGGUGGGGGUUGGAAAGUUUCGGCGGUUGGGGAUGGACUCGCGGCUUAUCAGCUUGUUGGUGGGGUAGUGGCUUACCAAGGCUUUGACGGGUAGCCGGCCUGGGAGGGUGACCGGCGACAGUGGACCGGGGUUGCGGCCAGACUCCUACGGGAGGCAGCAGUGGGGAAUAUUGCACAAUGGGCGGAAGCCUGAUGCAGCAACGCCGCGUGCGGGAUGACGGCCUUCGGGUUGUAAACCGCUUUCGCCUGUGACGAAGCGUGAGUGACGGUAAUGGGUAAAGAAGCACCGGCUAACUACGUG